UACAGAGGGGGCAAGCGUUAUUCGGAAUUAUUGGGCGUAAAGAGCGCGUAGGCGGCUUGGCAAGUGUAAGGUGAAAUCCCUCGGCUUAACCGAGGAACUGCCCUCCAAACUGCUUCGCUUGAGACCGGGAGAGGUGAGUGGAAUUCCCAGUGUAGCGGUGAAAUGCGUAGAUAUUGGGAGGAACACCAGUGGCGAAGGCGGCUCACUGGACCGGUACUGACGCUGAUGCGCGAAAGCGUGGGGAGCAAACGGG
rnacentral:rRNA from 1 species